rnacentral:rRNA from 1 species
UACGGAGGGUGCAAGCGUUAUCCGGAUUUACUGGGUUUAAAGGGUGUGUAGGCGGGUCUUUAAGUCAGUGGUGAAAUCUCCGAGCUUAACUUGGAAACUGCCAUUGAUACUAUUGAUCUUGAAUUCUGUUGAGGUGGGCGGAAUGUGUCAUGUAGCGGUGAAAUGCUUAGAUAUGACACAGAACACCGAUUGCGAAGGCAGCUCACUAAACUGUAACUGACGCUGAGGCACGAAAGCGUGGGGAGCAAACAGG